ACACACCAGCUCGAGCAUUGCGCUGCGCCGCGCGUGGACUCUCCUCGCUGCAGUGAUCGCUGCGUCUCUCCUUUCACCCCAAAAGAAACCUCGCCGCAGCUGGCAACCGAUUAGAGAGCACUUACAUCGCGUCUACCCUAGGAGCAGGAAUCCUCACACCUUGUUUGGCUCUCCUUUUCG
ensembl:processed_transcript